rnacentral:lncRNA from 1 species
ACACUGAAUUUGAGCAGAAACCAUAAGGAUACUCAAAGGACCUGUGACUCUCAGGAAAUGGUGAGAUUUCAGGUCAUAAUCUUUUUUUCUUUUUUUUUCCAUUAAAUUCAUUUUCCUUUUUCCCUUUACAAUAUUGCUGUUUUGUUUUUGUAAACAGCAUCAAAUGAGAGGGACAGAUGAAACAGUUUCAAGACAAUAGCAGGAAAAACAUGCUGAAGAUUGAAACAAACCUUGGCUGGAAAUAUUUGAAGGUAUCUAGCCAGUCCACAAUGAAAGCUUUGUUGCACCCCAUGAGUCUUCUGGCAGAAAUGAUGGCGCCUGUAUUCUUUGGUUUCCCUAAACAUCACACCCUGCCUGUUUAUACGAGGCUCUUCAAUUAAGUCUGCACCCAAAGAUUCAAUAAGAGAGGGGAUCCUGCCAGUCCAAAGUGAACUCCUGAUGGACAUUGAAGUACUCCUGCAGAGCUUGUAUCUUCGACACCAUGCGCAUUAGAAACUCCACUGAGUCCUUUCCUUCACCAAGGCAGGACCCAGUGACUCAUUACUGUUGAUAGGUCAGGGGCAGGUAAUAUUUUGUUUCAUGUUUAUUCAUUCCUCUAUGGAUUACCAGCCAUAUAUAUGGACACAUGCUGUAUUCUCAAGAUCUAUGCUGUUUUGUAGGAAUAGAGAAAAUGAUAUGUUUAGUCUGUUUUCAAAUAGUAUGUCAAAUUUUCUCAUUGUUUAUCAGUAAUAUUCACUACCUUGGCUAUAUAUGAGCAUCUUUAGGUUUUUCUAUAUUUAGCGGUUGCAAAUGUAAAAUGUACGGUAAACCAUUUAUGUUCCUCAUAUUGUACUGUAUUUUUAGCGGUAAAAUACCGGCAGCUGUGGUAGCCAGGAAUUUACCGUAAAAUGUAUCUGGUCAAAAUAAAAUGCUGUAAUUUGUUAUACAAUUUCACUGUGUUUUUUACUGUCAAAGGUUUUAAUAAGGUUUAACAUAUUUCUGUUAUUUUUACAGUUAUUUACAAUAAUAGGGUCUAUCCUAUUACUGUUAAAUUAACAACAAAUUACUGUAAAUAUUAUUAUGUCAUAACCUUUUUUUUACUGCAAAUAUCCGUAAAAAGCUAUGGAAAGUUGCAUUUUUUACAUUAAAUUGCUGUAUAAUUGACAAAUAUAUUUGUUUUUUUCUAUCAUGAUUUUGGUAAAAUAAUACGUUGUCUACCUUAAAAUUUAGGGUUACAAAACCAGUAUACCGUAUUGUCUUUUACAGAUUCCACAUUUUUUUCACGGUAUAUUCCUGGCUACCACAGCUGCCGGUAUUUUACCGUAAAUUUGACAGUUUUUUUUUUACAGUGUAUGUGGUCUGAUCCAGCAGACAAGCUACUACUGCUCAAAUUUCAAUAAAAGUUAAUGCUGGUUCUUACAGAAAGGUGUCAGAAUAUACCCAACCACAUGGGGCUGCAUAGCUGCAGAGCAGUUAAGAUGCCCAUGCCGACCCCUGUACAUCGUUGACCACCAACAAUAGGCAAGAGCAUCAGAACCAGACCACAGAGCAAUGACAGAAGGUGGCCUGGUCUGAUGAAUCAUGUUUUCUUGUAUAUCACACGGAUGGCCUGGUGUGUGUGCAUCACUUACCUGGGGAACUACACUAUGGGAAGAAGACACCCCAGCCAAGGCAAUGUGAUGCGUUGGGCAUUUUUUGCCCAACGCAUCAGUCAUCCAUCCUGACAAGUAACUAAGUAUUUGCUUACAGCAUGACUUAAAGAAUCUGUCACUAAUGUCUUGGUGCCAGAUACCACAGCACAUCUUAAGGGGUCUAGUGGAGUUGCAGAUCAACCAUGUGUUUAUUCACCUACAUUAACAAAUUCCAAAACAUAACACAAACAUACAGCCCAGUGUUGAGACAUGAUUCCAACCACCUCUGUUGUCAACUGGGAGCCUUUUAUAGACAGCUGCUAAUUUGACCCUCAAACCAUGUCGUUUUCUGGGGUUGCAUGCUAAACUAAGAUGGUAAACUACACACACAUCACAUUUACUAGCCUUUAUUAACAUCAAAUCAAAUAUGUAGAAAUAAUGACAAUUAUUAAAUCAAAUAUUUUCCCAUUUGGUCUACCAUCUAUAAUCUACAAUAAAACUUCAAUCACGUUGUGGUGUCUGGGAACGUUAAGGAAGGCUGGGGCACACCAUUGGGAGAAAACACAGGUAAGACAUGAUCUUGUCAUCAAAAUAUUCACUUAGGAUAUAAAUUGUCUCUCCUACCUAUUAAAAUACACAUCAGGUUAAAGUAAUACUGUCCAUCAGCUUAACCAAACUUGCCAAAUUUCUGUUCCUAGGUUGACAUUAACCAGUAGCAGCUGGAAGACUGCCAACAGGAAAAACCAAUAAAAACCAGUACAACUUUUUUGUUUAAGUGUCUUCUUUUACACAAAUGUUGAAAUUACUCAUGUAUGUUAAUCCGGCCAAGCAAUGAAGAUGACCUUCAUUACAGGGCCCGACACAGAGUUAGCCAGGAG